rnacentral:rRNA from 1 species
CUACGGGUGGCAGCAGUGAGGAAUAUUGCACAAUGGGGGGAACCCUGAUGCAGCAACGCCGCGUGGAGGAUGACGCAUUUCGGUGUGUAAACUCCUUUUAUAUGUCAAGAAAAUGACGGUAGCAUAUGAAUAAGCACCGGCUAACUCCGUGCCAGCAGCCGCGGUAAUCAGAGGGUGCAAGCGUUACUCGGAAUCACUGGGCGUAAAGGACGCGUAGGCGGGUUGGAAAGUCAGGUGUGAAAUCCUACAGCUUAACUGUAGAACUGCACUUGAAACUUCUAAUCUAGAGUAUGGGAGGGGGAGAUGGAAUUAGUGGUGUAGGGGUAAAAUCCGUAGAUAUCACUAGGAAUACCUAAAGCGAAGGCGAUCUCCUGGAACAUUACUGACGCUAAGGCGUGAAAGCGUGGGGAGCAAACAGGAUUAGAUACCCUCGUAGUC